rnacentral:lncRNA from 1 species
UAGACUUCUGAAUUGAAAAUUACCGAAUAAUUGAGAGUAAGAAAAUGAAUUUAAUUAAAUCACAAAAGGAUGAACAAGACGGCGCUUUAGCGUGUGUUCCAAACACAACUACAAAACCAGAUAUUUCAAAAGGCAUCAUCAAUCUCCAUCAUCAGUAUUAUUACAUGAUGGUACCUUUUUCGUUUCUGGCGCUGAAUUCUUCUUGGAUUUGGGUUUUGCAGGACUUGACGUAGAGAGAGAAACAACCAUCUACAUCACUCAUAAAAAAAUAAAAAAUAUUAAUAGAAGAAUUCAAAGGCACGUAAACCAAUUUCACAAACAGAAACCAUCAAACAAACGAGAAUUUAAUUACCUUGUCUCUAAUCUUUUCAUAUUUAUGUUUCCCACCAAUGAUAUCAUUUCUGAUUUGUUUGCUCCUGUCAAAUCCUUGAAGUGACAACUCAUCUUUUCCAUCAGUGUCACUAAAGAUCUAUUCUUCCUCCUCCACCGUUAUGCUCUCUAUCUUCUUUGGCCAAUCCCUUCUACGAGAAGAUCCAUCAUUUGAUAAAUGAUCUUCAGAUACACAAGUAACCAUUUUCUCACUCUGAGAUCCCUUUUUGCUGAAAAAAUCGGGUGAUUUCUCCUUUCUUGAAUUAGUCGAAGAAGAUAACUCUUUUGACGAUGAACUUCAAGGUGAACUGUCUUUUUCUUGAUCUUACCAUUACGAUGUACUUCAAAUAAAUCCUUGCAUCCACUUAUCCAAGCAUGAUCAUAACCAUCCUCCCGCUUCAUCAACAAAUUAGGUUUUCUACGCCUUCUCUUUUGAACUACUCUUGUGUCCCUUUCUUUUUGCUGUAUUUCUGUAAUGUCAAUCCUUUUAAGCUCUUGCUGACAGCUCUUUCAAGUCCUUUGUGAAUUUUCAUUUUUCAUCAUCUGAAAGAUUUCCAUUAGCAGUCUUCCUUUCAGGAG